ensembl:lncRNA
ACCUCUUGCUCUGGGAGAAAUCCUAUUAUGUGAGUAACAAAACUGCAUUUCAUUUGAUGCUAGAGCCUGGAUUUUUAUCCUCCAUGUCUAUACUGUGCUAAACAAAACAAGACCCUGAUCUGUGCCAGAGAGAACAUGAAAAGAAAACAAGUCUGAGAACUGAUCUACGGCGUAUACCACAGCCUCUUUGGAUGGGUAACACGAAUCUGCCUCACGUGGCUCAGAUAUAAAUCACUCUGCAUUGCAGGGGCAUUACGAUUCUUAGUACAAAUGCACAGUUGAACAUUCUAUCUGGAAAGAAGGAUAGCAUAUGUAAUUAUAAAGAGACGUCUAGAAAAGGAG